CUGAUCAGAAUCAUGGUUUCCUGGCUGUAUUUUCUCCUACUGGCAGAUUCAUUGGGAGAUGUUCUGGCAGAUGCUUCAGUAACUGAAUUAGGCGGAGGAGUUAAAAGACCUGGAGACGCUCUUCGACUCACUUGCACAUGCUCUGGAUUCAGUAUUGAUAGUUACUGGAUGGAAUGGAUCCACCAGGAAGAUGGAAAAGGGCUGGAGUGGAUCUCACGGAUAAAGACAGGCAACACAUAUUAUGCCAAUUCUUUUAAAGGUCGAUUCACAAUCUCCAAAGAUAGUUCCAGGAACCUGGUUUAUCUAGACAUGAAUGGACUGAAAACUGAAGACACAGCCAAGUAUUACUGUGCAAGGGAACACAGUGGAGAAAAUAAAUCUGAGCUUGUUCUGAAACUUACAGUUUAUGUGCAAGGACAUGAUUAUAGUGAGAAGGCACUGGGUUUGUAUAUGAAAAGUGGCUGA